rnacentral:rRNA from 1 species
AGAGUUUGAUCCUGGCUCAGAAUGAACGCUAGCGGCGUGCUUAACACAUGCAAGUCGUACGAGAACUCUUUAGCUUGCUAAAGAUAGUAAAGUGGCGCACGGGUGAGUAACGCGUGGGUAAUUUACCUCUGAAUUUGGGAUAACUCCGCGAAAGCGGGGCUAAUACCGGAUAAUAUUUCAGGAUCUUCGGGUUUUGAAAUCAAAAGUGGCCUCUACAUGUAAGCUACUGUUUGGAGAUGAGCCCGCGUACCAUUAGCUUGUUGGUAGGGUAAUGGCCUACCAAGGCUACGAUGGUUAGCUGGUCUGAGAGGAUGAUCAGCCACACUGGAACUGACACACGGUCCAGACUCCUACGGGAGGCAGCAGUGGGGAAUUUUGCGCAAUGGGGGAAACCCUGACGCAGCAACGCCGCGUGAGUGAUGAAGGCCUUCGGGUCGUAAAGCUCUGUCAAGUGGGAAGAAUCUGGGAAAUGCUAAUACCAUUUUUCACUGACGGUACCACUGAAGGAAGCACCGGCUAACUCCGUGCCAGCAGCCGCGGUAAUACGGGGGGUGCAAGCGUUAUUCGGAAUUAUUGGGCGUAAAGGGCGCGUAGGCGGUCUUUUAAGUCAGAUGUGAAAGCCCGGGGCUUAACCCCGGAAGUGCAUUUGAAACUGAAGGACUUGAGUAUGGGAGAGGGAAGUGGAAUUCCUGGUGUAGAGGUGAAAUUCGUAGAUAUCAGGAGGAACCACCGGUGGCGAAGGCGACUUCCUGGACCAAUACUGACGCUGAGGCGCGAAGGCGUGGGGAGCAAACAGGAUUAGAUACCCUGGUAGUCCACGCAGUAAACGAUGAACACUAGGUGUAGCGGGUAUUGACCCCUGCUGUGCCGCAGUUAACGCAUUAAGUGUUCCGCCUGGGGAGUACGACCGCAAGGUUAAAACUCAAAUGAAUUGAC